GACGAACGCUGGCGGCGUGCCUAAUACAUGCAAGUAGAACGCAGUUGCGAACGGGUGAGUAACGCGUAGGUAACUGCCUGGUAGCGGGGGAUAACUAUUGGAAACGAUAGCUAAUACCGCAUACUACCAGAUGGACCUGCGUGGUAUUAGCAAUUUGGUGAGGUAACGGGACACCAAGGCAAAGAAACAUAGCCGACCCGCGAGGUGGAUCGGCCACUCUGGUACUGAGACACGGCCCAGACUCCUACCGGAGGCAGCCGUAGGGAAUCUUCGGCAAUUGGGGGAACCCUGACCGAGCAACGCCGCGUGAGUGAAGAAGGUUUUCGGAUCGUAAAGCUCUGUUGUUAAGGAAGCGGUACUUAACCAGAAAGGGACGGCUAACUACGUGCCAGCAGCCGCGGUAAUAC
rnacentral:rRNA from 1 species